rnacentral:tRNA from 1 species
AUUUAAGUAGCUUAUAAUUAGAGCUGGAUAUUGAAGAUGUCAAGGAGGUGAAUCACCCUUAAAUA